UUUGUACUCCCUCCGUCCCGAAAUUCUUGUCUUAGAUUUGUCUAAAUACGGAUGUAUCUAGUUACAUUUUAGUGUUAGAUACAUCCAUAUCUAGACAAAUGUAAGACAAGAAUUUUGGGACGGAGGGAGUAUGUG
rnacentral:pre_miRNA from 1 species